rnacentral:rRNA from 1 species
AAUAUCAAAGGUGAGCCAGUACAGGAUGGACCCGCGUCUGAUUAGCUAGUUGGUAAGGUAACGGCUUACCAAGGCGACGAUCAGUAGCCGACCUGAGAGGGUGAUCGGCCACAUUGGAACUGAGACACGGUCCAAACUCCUACGGGAGGCAGCAGUGGGGAAUAUUGCACAAUGGGCGAAAGCCUGAUGCAGCAACGCCGCGGGAGUGAUGAAGGCCUUCGGGUCGUAAAACUCUGUCCUCAAGGAAGAUAAUGACGGUACUUGAGGAGGAAGCCCCGGCUAACUACGUGCCAGCAGCCGCGGUAAUACGUAGGGGGCUAGCGUUAUCCGGAUUUACUGGGCGUAAAGGGUGCGUAGGCGGUCUUUCAAGUCAGGAGUGAAAGGCUACGGCUCAACCGUAGUAAGCUCUUGAAACUGGGAGACUUGAGUGCAGGAGAGGAGAGUGGAAUUCCUAGUGUA